AUUGAACGCUGGCGGCAGGCUUAACACAUGCAAGUCGAGCGGGGUGAUGGUGCUUGCACUAUCACUUAGCGGCGGACGGGUGAGUAAUGCUUAGGAAUCUGCCUAUUAGUGGGGGACAACAUCUCGAAAGGGAUGCUAAUACCGCAUACGUCCUACGGGAGAAAGCAGGGGAUCACUUGUGACCUUGCGCUAAUAGAUGAGCCUAAGUCGGAUUAGCUAGUUGGUGGGGUAAAGGCCUACCAAGGCGACGAUCUGUAGCGGGUCUGAGAGGAUGAGCCGCCACACUGGGACUGAGACACGGCACAGACUCCUACGGGAGGCAGCAGUGGGGAAUAUUGGACAAUGGGGGGAACCCUGAUCCAGCCAUGCCGCGUGUGUGAAGAAGGCCUUAUGGUUGUAAAGCACUUUAAGCGAGGAGGAGGCUCUUUUGGUUAAUACCCAAGAUGAGUGGACGUUACUCGCCGAAUAAGCACCGGCUAACUCUGUGCCAGCAGCCGCCGUAA
rnacentral:rRNA from 1 species